CCUACGUGAGGCAGCAGUGAGGAAUAUUGGUCAAUGGACGCAAGUCUGAACCAGCCAUGCCGCGUGCAGGAAGACGGCUCUAUGAGUUGUAAACUGCUUUUGUACGAGGAUAAACGCAGAUACGCGUAUCUGUCUGAAAGUAUCGUACGAAUAAGGAUCGGCUAACUCCGUGCCAGCAGCCGCGGUAAUACGGAGGAUUCAAGCGUUAUCCGGAUUUAUUGGGUUUAAAGGGUGCGUAGGCGGUCGGAUAAGUUAGAGGUGAAAUCCCGAGGCUCAACUUCGGAAUUGCGUCUGAUACUGUUCGGCUAGAGAGUAGUGGAGGUAGGCGGAAUGUAUGGUGUAGCGGUGAAAUGCUUAGAGAUCAUACAGAACACCGAUUGCGAAGGCAGCUUACCAAGCUACUUCUGACGUUGAGGCACGAAAGCGUGGGGAGCAAACAGGAUUAGAUACCACUGUAGUC
rnacentral:rRNA from 1 species